GGUUCACUUCUUAGAUCACGCCCCGUCACACCCUCAGGCUUGUGACAAAUCUGAAGCUCGUGUGAGAACUGAUGAGUAGGAAGGCCUGGCUUUAUUUUCUGCUGUUUCUCCUGGCAUCCUCACCUUCUUACUUUCCUCUUCCUCCCCUUUUUCUCAAAAAGAGAAAGGAAGCAAAAAGAUCGACUGCCACUUGCCUAGUCCAGGAUCAUCGAGGAGAGUAAAGCCUUUGGGAUGAGACCGUGAGCUCCUGCCCCAAGGGGCGCGGAACGCUGUGAUGACAUCGGUCCCUCCAGGACAAACUUGGAUCAUCUUCUCACCUCAGGACCCUUAACUUCAUCACAUCUGCAAAGUCCAUUUUGCCAGCACCCAGGCACCUUCAUCAAAUCCAUGGGCUGCACAGGAAGACCCACUUUUCAUCCGAAGGCAAGGCGACCGAGAAUUCAAGGCACCAGGUGGGUGAAGGAGCCGGAGUGUUGGGUUCCGGGCUGCCCCGCCUUUGCUGUCGAAGGGGGAGGGAUGUGGUCACAGCAGGCAGAAGAUGCCGUCAAGGUGCUGAGCACAGGCCAUGCACAGACCCGGAGAGGACGGCCUCGUCCCAGGUUCUUGGAGGAGCCCGCGGCGACAGCACAGCACUCCUCAGCCUGCCCCUUCCUUCACGUCCAGAAUGUUCCAACCCGCCUGGCUUGAAGCUCUGCACACAUCUGCUUCUUCCCCUUUUCCUCUGCAAGCUCCCCACUCAGGUGGCCUUUAAUGACCAAGAUGGAGGUAAAAUCCUUCUACAGAGAUGAACCUGACUUGACCCUUGCAAUGGAAGCACAGGGUAGGAAC